CGUUGAUUACGUCCCUGCCCUUUGUACACACCGCCCGUCGCUACUACCGAUUGAAUGGCUUAGUGAGGUCUCCGGAUUGGCUUUGGGGAGUCGGCAACGGCACCCUGUUGCUGAGAAGUUGGUCAAACUUGGUCAUUUAGAGGAAGUAAAAGUCGUAACAAGG
rnacentral:rRNA from 1 species